UCCGACCCGCACGAAAGGCGUAACGAUUUGGGCACUGUCUCAACGAGAGACUCGGUGAAAUUUUAGUACCUGUGAAGAUGCAGGUUACCCGCGACAGGACGGAAAGACCCCAUGGAGCUUUACUGUAGUUUGAUAUUGAGUGUCUGUACCGCAUGUACAGGAUAGGUAGGAGCCGUAGAAAUCGGAACGCUAGUUUCGAUGGAGGCGCUGGUGGGAUACUACCCCUGCGUUAUGGCCACUCUAACCCGCACCACU
rnacentral:rRNA from 1 species